CGCGUAGGCGGCCACCGCAAGUCAGUUGUGAAAUCUCUGGGCUUAACCCAGAAAGGUCAACUGAUACUGCGGGGCUAGAGUGCAGAAGGGGCAACUGGAAUUCUCGGUGUAGCGGUGAAAUGCGUAGAUAUCGAGAGGAACACCUGCGGCGAAGGCGGGUUGCUGGGCUGACACUGACGCUGAGGCGCGAAAGCUAGGGGAGCGGAACG
rnacentral:rRNA from 1 species